rnacentral:rRNA from 1 species
UACGAAGGUGGCAAGCGUUGUUCGGAUUUACUGGGCGUAAAGGGAGCGUAGGUGGUUAGGUAAGCCCUCCGGGAAAUCUUCAGGCUUAACCUGAAAAGGUCGGGGGGGACUGCCUGGCUAGAGGACGGGAGAGGAGCGCGGAAUUCCCGGUGUAGCGGUGAAAUGCGUAGAGAUCGGGAGGAAGGCCGGUGGCGAAGGCGGCGCUCUGGACCGUUUCUGACACUGAGGCUCGAAAGCGUGGGGAGCAAACAGG